rnacentral:lncRNA from 1 species
AGAAGGCGGAGUAAUUUGAGAGCCCUGAUCAUGCUUUCAGAUGCGGAUUACGCCCCAAAAAAACCAAGGAUGAGGAAUGAGAUGAACAGGAAGAUGAUUGAGCAGAUCAGACAAUGCAUUGGACACGAGGUGUUCCAUCAUGUAGCACGAUGAGAUGAGUGUUGCAGAUCAGAUAAUGCAUUGAACACAGGGGUGUUCUAACAUGUAGC